AGCGAACGCUAGCGGCGGGCCUAACACAUGCAAGUCGAGCGGAGGGGCAACCCUCAGCGGCGAACGGGUGAGUAACACGUAGGUAAUGUACCCUCUGGUGGGGAAUAACCGUGGGAAACCAUGGCUAAUACCGCAUAUGUCUUUCGAGAUGAAAGCAGCAAUGCGCCAGAGGAGCAGCCUGCGGCCGAUUAUUUAGUCCUAGUUGGUGAGGUAAUGGCUCACCAAGGGUACGAUCGGUAGCUGGUCUGAGAGGAUGAUCAGCCACACUGGAACUGAGACACGGUCCAGACUCCUACGGGAGGCAGCAGUGGGGAAUAUUGCGCAAUGGGCGAAAGCCUGACGCAGCCACGCCGCGUGA
rnacentral:rRNA from 1 species